CCGCGUCGCUUUAAGCGUUUGGCACCGCGACGCCAACGACAGAUGUGACAGCUACCGUGACUGCUGCUGAUGGAUUGCGACAAUGGAUUGCGA
rnacentral:lncRNA from 1 species